rnacentral:rRNA from 1 species
GUAGUCAUAUGCUUGUCUCAAAGAUUAAGCCAUGCAUGUCUAAGUUCAAGCGAAAAUAAAGUGAAACCGCGAAUGGCUCAUUAUAUCAGUUAUGGUUCCUUAGAUCGCACUUACUACUUGGAUAACUGUGGUAAUUCUAGAGCUAACACAUGCGCUGGACUCCAACCCUCGUGGAAGGAGUGCUUUUAUUAGAUCAAAGCCAAUCGAGUCUUCGGGCUCGUUAUAUUGGUGACUCUGAAUAACUUUGCUGAUCGCAUGGUCUCGUACCGGCGACGUAUCUUUCAAGUGUCAGCCUUAUCAACUGUCGAUGGUAGGUUAUGCGCCUACCAUGGUGGCAACGGGUAACGGGGAAU